rnacentral:tRNA from 1 species
GCCCAGCUGGCUCAGUUGGUAGAGCAUGCGACUCUUGAUCUCAGGGUUGUGAGUUCGAGCCCCACGUUGGGUA